GGAACUGGUUGUUUUGGCACUGGUUAUUUUGGCGGUGGUGGAACUGGUUAUUUUGGAGGUGGUGGACCUGUUUUUUUUGGUGGUGUAGGAACUGGUUAUUUUGGAUUUGGUGGAACUGGUUAUUUUGAAGGUGGUGGGGCUGGUUAUUUUGAAGGUGGUGGAGCUGGUUAUUUUGGCGGUGGCGGAACUGGUUAUUUUGGCGGUGGUGGAAAUGGUUAUUUUGGAGGUGGUGGAACUGGUUAUUUUGGAGGUGGUGGAACUGGUUAUUUUGGAGGUGGUGGAACUGGUUAUUUUGGAGGUGGUGGAACUGGUUAUUUUGGAGGUGGUGGAACUGGUUAUUUUGGCAGUGGUGGAACUGGUUAUUUUGAAGGUGGUGGAACUGGUUAUUUUGGAGGUGGUGGAACUGGUUAUUUUGGAGGUGGUGGAACUGGUUGUUUUGG
rnacentral:lncRNA from 1 species